rnacentral:rRNA from 1 species
UACAGAGGUCCCAAGCGUUGUUCGGAUUCACUGGGCGUAAAGGGUGCGUAGGUGGUGGGGUAAGUCGGAUGUGAAAGCUCGGAGCUCAACUCCGAAAUGGCAUUGGAAACUACCCUGCUAGAGGAUUGGAGGGGGGACUGGAAUACUUGGUGUAGCAGUGAAAUGCGUAGAUAUCAAGUGGAACACCAGUGGCGAAGGCGAAUCUCUGGACAGUUACUGACACUGAGGCACGAAGGCCAGGGGAGCAAACGGG